UGAGGAAUAUUGGACAAUGGGGGCAACCCUGAUCCAGCCAUGCCGCGUGAGUGAUGAAGGCCUUCGGGUUGUAAAACUCUUUUAGAUGUGACGAUGAUGACGGUAACAUCAGAAAAAGCUCCGGCUAACUUCGUGCCAGCAGCCGCGGUAAUACGAAGGGAGCGAGCGUUGUUCGGAAUCACUGGGCUUAAAGCGUGCGUAGGCGGAUUAGUAAGUAAGAAGUGAAAUCCCAGGGCUUAACCCUGGAACUGCUUUUUAGACUGCUUGUCUGGAAUUCGGUAGAGGUUGGUGGAACUCCUAGUGUAGAGGUGAAAUUCGCAGAUAUUAGGAAGAACACCGGUGGCGAAGGCGACCAACUGGACCGAUAUUGACGCUGAGGCACGAAAGCGUGGGUAGCAAACAGGAUUAGAUACCCCCGUAGUCC
rnacentral:rRNA from 1 species